ensembl:lncRNA
GCACCUCCGAGGGUAUAAGACCCUGCUGUGACACCAUAUUUAGGAAAUAAUUACAUAGGCAGCAAGAGGACAGAAAGCACUGGGACAAGCCAUAAGGGAUACAUAGAGUUACAUAGGGACUACAUAGUGACUAUAGAAGCCAUACGGGGUACAUAGUGAUACAUAGAGACUAUAGUACAAGCCGUAAGGUAUACCACGAGAUAGAUAGGGACUAUAUAGAGACUGUAUCAGAAGCCAUAAGGGAUACACAGUGGUGCAUAGGGACUAUAUUAUACGACAUACAUGGUGAUACAUUGAGAAUAUACUGGAAGCCAUAAGGAAUACAUAGUGAUACAUAAAGACUACACUACAUAGGCGCUAUAUUAGAAGCCAUAAGGAAUACAUAGUUAUACAUAGGUACUACGUGGGUAAUUUCAGCAUGUUGGUGGUGUGUGUUGCUGUGAUCUUCAGUCUGGGUUCAAUGUGUCAGACGGCUCCUGUUUCUCAAACCUGCGAGACUCUUCUGAAACCUCUAGAGAUGAAAACCAUAGAUCCGUAUGUGUACUACAACACCUGGUAGAAGCAAGCCUCUCUGUCGUUAAAGGUGUUUUGUGGAGCCGCGCUGUUUGUUGAUGUGUUAAAUAAACACAUCAGUAGCAAGAGGGAGUUUUGUAGCUUUACUGUUGAUAGGAAAAUGGUCCAUUAUAGCAUCUAGUAACAACCAACCAGGUGCCGGCACUGUGGUUGGCCUUUUCAUGGAUAACAUUUGGUCAGACAUGUCACCAGGGACCCACCCCGACAUGCUCAAAGACACUCUUUACAUGAAAACAUGGGAUGGAAGAUGUUCCAGUUACAAUCUCAACAUGACCCUGGAAAACAACAAGCUCAGCUGGACCUAUGUUGUCCCUUCUUCCGCGGUCUUCCUGCCUACUUGUCCGGACUGUCUUUUGACCCGGACUUCCACCAUCAUCCAUGGAAACACCUACAGCUCUCUGGAAUUCACCAGUAAGAGAAGAGAACUCUCUGCUAGUGACCUGUUGCAGUUCAAGACCCAGGUUGACUGCCUCAACUUGCCAGCUGCCGUUUUCCUCAACACAAAGACAGAGCAUUGUCCAGAGAGCACCGAACCAUUGCCUGAAAUGGAAGACAUCUACAACAAGACGAUAGCCUUAAUGGAGACAGAUAUUUUCAAGUUUUUUUUGAGGGCCACAGAUUAUCUUAUUAAGAAGGCAGACUGGGUGGGAUGGCUUUAAAGGAAUUGUUAACGUGGUGUGUUAGAUCUUUCCAAUUUCCAAUGAAUAGAAUCAGGUGUAUUUAGCUGCACUUAAUGAAAGCGGCGUUAGUAGAACCAUUUAGACUGUUUGUCUCCAUAAGGAUCCCCAUUACUGACCUUGCAAAGUGUAACUUCUCAUGGAACUUAAGGACAUCCAUCAAAAACAACACCUGAUGAAGGUCUGAAAUGCGUUUUACUAUCUAUAAUUGUUGUGAUACUGGAGGUUUGCAACAGGUUGUAUCAGCAGUUUUAUGCAUGAGAAUGAAAGUUUAUAUGAUAUGACUGGCUUGUCAUUCUGUGUCCAUAAAGGCCUUCCAAUAACCACAUUUAUAUUGUUGUUGGUAUUUAUUCAGGGAUCCAUGCAGCUCCUCAAACAACCAUUGAUAAUCUGUAACAUGUUCACACAGCUUUAUUACAUUGGUUGUUAUUGUUAGCAUUAGCAGAAUCUAUAUUUUCUUCUACAUUUGUCUCACACCUUUUCAUCCUGUUUUCCCUUCAAUGAUUUUCAGUCCCUCCCAUUCACUCCCACUCCUCCUAACCCUCCCAUUCACUCCCACUCCUCCUAACCCUCCCAUUCACUCCCACUCCUCCUAACCCUCCCAUUCACUCCCACUCCUCCUAACCCUCCCAUUCACUCCCACUCCUCCUAAUCCUCCCAUUCACUCCCACUCCUCCUAACCCUCCCAUUCACUCCCACUCCUCCUAACCCUCCCAUUCACUCCCACUCCUCCUAACCCUCCUAAAGAAGGAAGAACCUCUCCAGACAUCCAUUGGUACAAUGUCAGUAGUUAACCCAAUCAAUGUCAACCUCCACCCGACCACCCAAUCAAUGUCAACCUCCACCCGACCACACAAUCAAUGUCAACCUCCACCCGACCACACAAUCAAUGUCAACCUCCACCUAACCACCCAAUCAAUGUCAACCUCCACCCGACCACACAAUCAAUGUCAACCUCCACCCGACCACACAAUCAAUGUCAACCUCCACCCGACCACACAAUCAAUGUCAACCUCCACCCGACCACCCAAUCAAUGUCAACCUCCACCUAACCACACAAUCAAUGUCAACCUCCACCUAACCACCCAAUCAAUGUCAACCUCCACCUAACCACCCAAUCAAUGUCAACCUCCACCCGACCACACAAUCAAUGUCAACCUCCACCCGACCAC